rnacentral:rRNA from 1 species
GACAACUCUAGAGAUAGAGUCUUCCCCUUCGGGGGACAAAGUGACAGGUGGUGCAUGGUUGUCGUCAGCUCGUGUCGUGAGAUGUUGGGUUAAGUCCCGCAACGAGCGCAACCCUUAAGCUUAGUUGCCAGCAUUAAGUUGGGCACUCUAAGUUGACUGCCGGUGACAAACCGGAGGAAGGUGGGGAUGACGUCAAAUCAUCAUGCCCCUUAUGAUUUGGGCUACACACGUGCUACAAUGGACAAUACAAAGGGCAGCUAAACCGCGAGGUCAUGCAAAUCCCAUAAAGUUGUUCUCAGUUCGGAUUGUAGUCUGCAACUCGACUACAUGAAGCUGGAAUCGCUAGUAAUCGUAGAUCAGCAUGCUACGGUGAAUACGUUCCCGGGUCUUGUACACACCGCCCGUCACACCACGAGAGUCUGUAACACCCGAAGCCGGUGGAGUAACCAUUUAUGGAGCUAGCCGUCGAAGGUGGGACAAAUGAUUGGGGUGAAGUCGUAACAAGGUAGCCGUAUCGG